UACGUAGGGCGCAAGCGUUGUCCGGAAUUAUUGGGCGUAAAGAGCUCGUAGGCGGUUUGUCGCGUCUGCUGUGAAAACCUCAGGCUCAACCUGGGGCUUGCAGUGGGUACGGGCAGACUAGAGUGCGGUAGGGGUGACUGGAAUUCCUGGUGUAGCGGUGGAAUGCGCAGAUAUCAGGAGGAACACCGAUGGCGAAGGCAGGUCACUGGGCCGCAACUGACGCUGAGGAGCGAAAGCGUGGGGAGCAAACAGG
rnacentral:rRNA from 1 species